rnacentral:rRNA from 1 species
CGCGAAGAACCUUACCUGGCCUUGACAUGUCCGGAAUCCUGCAGAGAUGCGGGAGUGCCUUCGGGAAUCGGAACACAGGUGCUGCAUGGCUGUCGCCAGCUCGUGUCGUGAGAUGUUGGGUUAAGUCCCGCAACGAGCGCAACCCUUGUCCUUAGUUGCCAGCGAGUAAUGUCGGGAACUCUAAGGAGACUGCCGGUGACAAACCGGAGGAAGGUGGGGAUGACGUCAAGUCAUCAUGGCCCUUACGGCCAGGGCUACACACGUACUACAAUGGUCGGUACAGAGUGUUGCGAGACCGCGAGGUGGAGCCAAUCCCAGAAAGCCGAUCUCAGUCCGGAUCGGAGUCUGCAACUCGACUCCGUGAAGUCGGAAUCGCUAGUAAUCGCGAAUCAGCAUUGUCGCGGUGAAUACGUUCCCGGGCCUUGUACACACCG